ensembl:lncRNA
UGUGAAAUCGCUACCAUGAUCUUGUUUGUGUGUGAAUUCAGAAUCUAUUGCAAGGAAAGUUUUUGUUUCCACAGACCAGUGGAAGAGUAGAUGACAGGGUACACACUCAGCGUUACUUUAUGGAACUUUGGAUUUCAAAAUAAUAGCGCUUCAGAUGCGUUUAUAUCAGCUACUUUUUCAUCUAGUUUCAGAAUGCACAUUUUUAAAUUUAGGUAUUCAUUUCUAUUUCAAAACAAACAAAUGAAAAAACAACCAGUACCCGGAAGAGAAAAAUAUGUCCUUUCCCCCUCUUUUUUUGAAAAAGAAAAAUGCAGUUCUGCCACCAGCAUGUUCAUGUUCUUGCAUUUUUAGAAAUUUCAAAAUGAUAUACUCAUUGAGCGUGCUUCCUCAUAGCAGCUGUUUUCCUGCAAUCUCUCUUGUGAAAUCUUAAAGUAAUUACAACACCUUAAAGGUCAGUGAGGGUUCAUGAAAGAGCAUACAGUUAAUCUUAUAAUUAAAAAAAAACUAAACAAAAAAAAAACGUUCUUAUUUCAUAUCUUUAUAAGAAAAAAAUACCAAUAACAGCUUUCUUUCAAAGUCAUCUGACCGUGACUUAGCUAAAUCAAGUGUCCUGCUGUGACUGUAUUAAGAGAAAUGAUGCAAAAAUUUGGGUGGAGAGUAGGGCUGACUGUUUGUUUAGCAGAACAACUUCUUCAUUUAGAAAUAAGGAGUUUCUGAUAUGACAGUGAAAUUCAAGGAUUCGAGUGAUAAAGUCUCAACAUGAAAGUCCGUCACAUUGUUAUCUGCUUCAUCUUCCUCACACUGCAGGAUGGAAACACUGUUCCUUACAAUGCAAAGAUUGCCAUGCACACAGGAGUGGAAGGAGGAAACAUCACAGUUAAAUGUUCAUUUUAUAUCUUUGGAAAGUGGAAGCUCUUAUGUAAGGACCAAUGUGAAAGGGGAAACAUUCUCAUUGAAACAGCCGACCUUGUAGCUCAAAGAGGCAGAUACUUUAUUAAAUACAAAGAAGAAGAGUUUCCAACACGUCAUGCAGUUUUUUAUGUCAGCAUCACACAGCUGGAAAAAUCUGACUCGGGGCUGUACCGGUGCUAUUUGGACAGAGACUUGGAUCCAUAUUUGUUUGAUAGCUUUCAGCUCACGGUGACAGAAGCAUCAACAGCUUCAACACCAGCAUUGGGCCCGCAAUCUUUUUCAACUUCCACAGCAAUCACUAAACAGCCUGAAAUAACAUUUGUAAAUUCAGGUUUUCUCUGGCCUGUGGUUAUAGCUGUAGUCAUGGUGUUUUUGGUGUUGUUUGUUGUUGUGCAUCUCAUCUGCAAAAAGAAGACUACGGACUCUUGUUUGAAGAAACAGAAAAUUAUGAAUUAUGAAAAGAGCGAGAUUGUUCUCUAUGACAAUCUUCUGACGUUGCCACCUGAAGAGUCAGUAUACCAGAGCCUGGAUCCAGCCAGCAGGGAUGAAGACCAAGUGUACCUUACACUUAAACAGACAUGAAAGCACAAAUAAUCCAGCAUUCAGGCCUGAAUUUAUGUGUCACAACAGACACAGAUUGAUACAACAGACAACAUCUUUAAACACUUCUUUAUUCUUCACUUUACUAAAAGAUAACGAUUUUACAGAUUGAGCAUUAUGAUCAUUAUAAUAUUUUGGUUUAAAAUAAUUUCUCUUCUCAUUCUGGUGCAAAAUUAGAGCUCAUCUUAUAUUCAAAGGCACCACCUGGGGGUGCUGUAGGAGUAGUGACAAAUAUCAGGAUUAAAUAACAGCUCAUCAAACUGAUCUGUAAAGUUGCAAAGCAAUAAUAAACAUUUGUAUAUUGGUAUGUCUUCUUUCCAAACAGGUUUUCCAAACUCUGAGAACAUCUGAGAACCAGAGGGGAAAACAAACCCUCCUACCCUAAAAACCACGAAGCACUCUGAGAGUGCAAACAUCCACCAAAGUUUUAUUAGAAUUCACACAAACCUUUUUGAGUUAUUGUGUUUACACACAGAAAGAAUGACACACAUGCAUGUUAAAACUACCAGAAACAUAACCUACUUGGAGAUGGUUACAACAGAAAAAGAAAAAAUAAUUGCAAUUUCAUUUAUUUAUUUGGGGGGAUUUUUUUUUUUUGUCAUCCACCCAUUUUCUUCCGGUCCAACCUGGCCACCAAGAUCUCUCCCUUGGCCCCCCCCUCUUCCAGGCCUGUCUCCUGGGCAGGGCCCUGGUAACCCUAUCCCAGGCAGGGUGAACUGUUCCCUUGAGCUUACACUGAUAAGUGCCUUUGUCGGGUCCUUCACCCAGACCAAUUUGCCAUGGGAGACCCUACCAGGGAACAAAAGCUAACUGUCAGCACACACCCUGGAACCUGUGGGAGACACAAACCCCGAUUCAUGGAGGGGGGAUUUUUAGUUAUGUUUAUUUAUUUAUUUUUGAUCUGUGAUAAUGGGUCGAAAAGAGAAGUAUAAAAUUGCCCCAAAAUCUGGUCUGACUUUUUAAUAAAGUAAAUAUGUCUGAUGUUGCUGUGGAAUGACUCCCAGCAGAAGACAAAACUUCAUAAAAAGAUUUAGGCAGAAUCAUGACUUGACAUCUGUUUUUGAAGCACCGCUAUAUUCUGUAUCAUGUGCUAACACAGGAUCCAUGACAAAAACUGUAUUUAAACAUUAUUUUCUUUUUCUUUAUGUUUAACUUCUUCUUUAGUUAAUUGGUUGUUGUUAAUGGUUUUAAGCUCUUGUAAGUCUUUCAUUACUACUAAAAAAAAUGAUUUUACUGAGUAAAAGAUCCGAAUUUACACCAAA